rnacentral:lncRNA from 1 species
CUGUAGAGUUUUUCCUCUCGUAGUUUUGACUUACCCUGGCUGACACUGUGACAGUUACCUGACUGGUCACUUGAUCCCCUGCGACCCAGAAACAGUCAGCCUGGAGGGGUGUGGAGGCUCCACUACCCCUGGAGUUACAGGAAAUCGCCAUGAAACUGGAGGGGCCGGUGAGGUGGGCCAAGGAGUCAGCAUGGUCCUCAAAAGGCCUGCUACUGCCUUAAGGGGACGCACAUAGGUGAUCAACUGCAAAACUGAGCGGCUGGGGAACAGUUUGAGAAAGAGGGAACACUUUGUCCACCUGCCACGUCCUUUUUCUCGUUCGUUUGUCUGGAGUCAGGACCGAACCCCACAGGCGCUUUGGAUCGCUGUUCCUCUCAAGCCAUCUCUCUCCUUUCCUAUAAAAUGUAGUCAUAAUCAGAGCACUGAUCUCUGCCAGAGAAUCUCAUCAAAAGGGAGAAGUCCACCCACUCAGGUAAAGGGAAUGGUCCAAGGAGGCCAUUCUGACUGUCAGUUUUCUCCAGUGAUCUCUGCUAGCAGCUAAC